rnacentral:lncRNA from 1 species
UAAAUAUGCAUUGCAGAUUGCAAAUGAAUAUUAUAUAUGUCCAUGUGCAACUUUUGUAUAACAAAUAUGUUAUAUGUGCACAUAUAUCUGUUCAUAUGCAACCUAGAAAGAAUGAAGCAAAUGUGUGUUUAAUAGACAUGUGUCUAACAUAGAACUUUCAUCUGCCUUAAUAAUCUGCUCUCCUGAGUCAUAAGCCUUUCCCAUAGGAACACUGGGAGGAUAGCUGCAAUUGCUCAUGGAUUUUUCAUAUUUCUUGCCCAUAUUAUGUCAGCAUCUUUGUGUUCAAGGUGGUACAGGCAAUGGUUGUGGUCCAUAAGGAGACAGAUUUGUCAAACAUUGCUUUGGCUCAUUAAAUGGACACCAAUUUUACAUUGCAAAUUGUUUCAUGGUAGCUAAACAUAUUGUAUCAGGAAAUUUACCAGAUUUUUAUUUAUUUGUGUAUAUUUGUUUUUACUAUGCUGGGGAUUGAAUCCUGUGGAGCUCAUACACUAGGUAAAUGCUUUACCACUAAAUCAUAUUCCCAGCUCCAAAACUUUUAAAAAGUAACUUUAAAAUUUCAUGGUAAGAACAUAUUUCAGGUAGUAUCAUACUUGCUUAGAACAUCUGAAUGGGUUCAAAGAUUGUUAGUACUUUCUGAAGGUCCAUAUAAUGCUUAUCUUUAAAUUUCUGUUUUAUUCAUCUUUUCAUUUCUUCAGUAUAGCAUGUACCUUAAGUAUAAAGUACCUUAUAUAUAAAGAGGGGGUGUUCAUAAGGUCUUAUUAUGUUGUGCAGGCUGGUCUCAAACUCAUGGGAUCAAGGAAGCCUCUCAUCUCAGCGCCCUGAGUGAUGGGGACUAUAAGUAUGCAACACCCUUCCUGACUCAAUCGUUAUUUAAAAAGUGAAUCUCAUCUAUUGUUUUAUAGGCAUAUAUACCUUAUUAAGAGGAACUGGCAGUGGUUUAAAAUGUGCUAGAAAUACCAAUAACAUGUUGUCAACAAGUUGCCCCAGAUUAAAUUUACCCCAUCAGUUCUCAAGUGGAAAGAAGAAAAUAUUGAGUCUUAUGAUUGUAUUUGUAAAAUCAGAGUAUUUUAGGAUGUUGCUACCAAUCCUAAUGGAACUGCAAUAAAGUAAGAACAUACAAAUUAAAAAAAAAACUGUUGAGCUUUGAGAAUGCCUUGGGGAAAAAAAAAGUGGAAACACUUCUCAAAUACACAACAGUAUGCAGUCAUCAUCUAUAUCAGAGAUACAUAAAGGUUUUCUGCACAGGAAAACAUAAUAACAGUUUUGGCUUUGUGAACAAGAAAGUAUUUAUAGGAACCACCCAACUCUGCCUUUCUAUCUCUACAACUGUAGAAAACCUAUUAAUGGACAGACCUAUCUGUGUUCCAAAUAGGCAAAGGGUUGGUUUUGACACAUGGGUCCAUAGUUCCACUAUAUAUAAUUCCAGAUAUAUAAAAUCACAAACAAUUAUUGUAAAUGUCCUCA